UUAUUUUAUUUUGGUUAAUAUUUUUAUUAUUAUUUUAUUUUACAUGUAAAUUUUUGUGUGAAUUUAUUUAAUUUUUAAAAAAUUAUUUAAUUAAUUUAUUCGCAGUGAUUAAUAUUAAUAUAAAAAAGAAAUUUUGUAUUAGUAAUAAUAUAUAGUAUUGGUAAAAUUUGUGCCAGCUACCGCGGUUAUACAAAUAAUACAAAUAAAAAUUUUUAGUAGUAGUUAAAUUGAUUAAAUUUUAAUAUAAAUAUAAAUUUAUUAGGUGAAAUUUUUAAAUUUAUUUAUUAUUAAUUUUAAAAAUAAUUUAAGCUAUAAACUUUUUAUAAUAAACUAGGAUUAGAUACCCUAUUAUUAAAAAUAAAUAUAAGCAUACUAAAGUAGUAUUAGUUAUAUUCUUAAAAUUUAAAAAAUUUGGCGGUAUUUUAGUCUAUUCAGAGGAAUCUGUCCUGUAAUUGAUAGUCCACAUUGAACCUUACUUAAAUUUGUUUAAUUUGUAUAUCGCCGUCAUCAGAAUAUAUUAUAAGAUAAAAUUUUCUUAAUAUUUAAUAAAAUAAUAUGUCAGGUCAAGGUGCAGUUUAUGUUUAAGUAGAGAUGGAUUACAAUAAAUUUAUUUAAUAUGGAUUAUUUUUUGAAAUAGAAAUUUGAAAGUGGAUUUGAAAGUAAUAUAAAAUAGAUUAUUUAUAUGAUUUUAGCUCUAAAAUAUGCACAUAUCGCCCAUCGUUCUUAUUUUUAAAAUAAGAUAAGUUGUAACAUAGUAGAUGUACUGGAAAGUGUAUCUAGAAAGA
rnacentral:ncRNA from 1 species